GAUGAACGCUGGCGGCGUGCCUAAUACAUGCAAGUCGAGCGAACAGACGAGGAGCUUGCUCCUCUGACGUUAGCGGCGGACGGGUGAGUAACACGUGGAUAACCUACCUAUAAGACUGGGAUAACUUCGGGAAACCGGAGCUAAUACCGGAUGAUAUAUUGAACCGCAUGGUUCAAUAGUGAAAGACGGUUUUGCUGUCACUUAUAGAUGGAUCCGCGCCGCAUUAGCUAGUUGGUAAGGUAACGGCUUACCAAGGCAACGAUGCGUAGCCGACCUGUGAGGGGGAUCGGCCACACUGGAACUGAGACACGGUCCAGGCUCCUACGGGAGGCAGCAGUAGGGAAUCUGCGGCAGUGGGCGAAAGCCUGACGGAGCAACGCCGCGUGAGUGAUGAAGGUCUUCGGAUCGUAAAACUCUGUUAUGAGGGAAGAACAAAUGUGUAAGUAACUAUGCACGUCUUGACGGUACCUAAUCAGAAAGCCACGGCUAACUACGUG
rnacentral:rRNA from 1 species